CUCACAAACACACUCUCUUCUCACACACUGUCACACACUCUGUUCUCACACACUGUCAGAAACUCUCCCGGCUGCGUUCAUUACAGUCCGUUGCUCUUUCCAAACACAGGGACAGGAGCAGAAUGACUGGGCUUUAACCUGGUGGAGGGGAAAGUUUCCCUCACUGGGGGUAAACAGACUGAGGACACACUGGGACUACUAUACUGGACUACUGUACCAAUACCACCCUCAUGACGAAUGAAGUGACAGGAGAGAGCAGACAGCAGGACAGAGGAGCUGUAAGCUGCUGGUACACAUGGUGCU
rnacentral:lncRNA from 1 species